CCUACGGGAGGCAGCAGUGGGGAAUUUUGGACAAUGGGCGCAAGCCUGAUCCAGCCAUGCCGCGUGCAGGAUGAAGGCCUUCGGGUUGUAAACUGCUUUUGUACGGAACGAAAAGACUCUGGUUAAUACCUGGGGUCCAUGACGGUACCGUAAGAAUAAGCACCGGCUAACUACGUGCCAGCAGCCGCGGUAAUACGUAGGGUGCGAGCGUUAAUCGGAAUUACUGGGCGUAAAGCGUGCGCAGGCGGUUAUAUAAGACAGAUGUGAAAUCCCCGGGCUCAACCUGGGAACUGCAUUUGUGACUGUAUAGCUAGAGUACGGGCAGAGGGGGGUAUGGAAUUCCGCGUGUAGCAGUGAAAUGCGUAGAUAUGCGGAGGAACACCGAUGGCGAAGGCAAUCCCCUGGGCCUGUACUGACGCUCAUGCACGGAAAGCGUGGGGAGCAAACAGGAUUAGAUACCCCUGGUAGUCCACGCCCGUAAACGAUGUCAACUGGUUGUUGGGUUCUUCACUGCUCAGUACGAAGCUAACGCGUGAAGUUGACCGCCUGGGGNGACGCCGCGAGUAGACGUANANAGAGUGCGNGNGAGACGNGCCGAGGACGACGACGAGGGAGGAGG
rnacentral:rRNA from 1 species